GACGAACGCUGGCGGCGUGCUUAACACAUGCAAGUCGAACGGAGUGGCGAACGGGUGAGUAACACGUGGGUGAUCUGCCUUGCACUUCGGGCUAAGCUUGUGAAACUGGGUCUAAUACCGGAUAGUGCAAGAUGAGCUCGCGUCCUAUCAGCUUGUUGGUGGGGUAAUGGGCUACCAAGGCGUCGACGGGUAGCCGGCCUGAGAGGGUGUACGGCCACAUUGGGACUGAGAUACGGCGCAGACUCCUACUGGAGGCAGGCGUGGGGAUUAUUGCAAAAUGGUCGGAAGCUUGCUGCAGAGACGCCGUGUGGGGGAUGAAGGUCUUCGGGUUGGAAACUCCUUUCGACAGAGACGCGGUACCUGUAUAAGAAGCACCGGCUAACUACGUGCCAGCAGCCGCGGUAAUAC
rnacentral:rRNA from 1 species